UAUAUAUAUAUAUAUAUAUAUAUAUGCCAUUUUGAUGACAUUAGGAGCUCCAAGUCCUGUUGUUCAGUUGGGGAGACGGACCAUAAUAACUUUCCAUUUUUGGAAGGUAGAUGGUUAGCUGGUGGUUGAGAAACAACAGGAGGUUCAACAGUGAGGGUCUCACUCUCAUCAGACGGGGAUGCCUCAUGAUCAGGGUCCUGUUCAACAUCAUCCUCUCUCUCAGACACAUUCUCCUCUAUGUCGCUUUCAUGGUCAAAGAGCUGUGACCUCAUUCACAGAAAAUCCUUCUUUGGAACUCAUUUUCAGUUGAGAGAGAAAGCCGAAAGAGAGCACCCAAAACCAAAAAGGUUGAGAAGGCUGCUGUGCAAGCUUUUAUCGCACUCACAGGCAGUCACCUUAGCCCCUUGUCGUCCCCCCCAUCAAGCCCAAAUGAAAUGUGUUACUUUUCAGAUUGUUUGAUAAUAUACUGCAGGUGCAAGUACUUAGGUUUGCACCUGCAGAUUUUGUGUCUGACCGGAUUAGUUUUAUACAGCUAAAACGGCCUGGGGUCAAAUUGACAACACCGAACAUCGGAACAACACCGAUGCGUGGCACAUGUGUACAGGAAAUUGAAAAAAUAUCAUCAUGUUAAUUUACCCAGUUGUCCCCGGUAAAUUAGGAAAAGUCAUAAAAUUUUAAGCAAAAAAAAUGAUGUUAGGCAUCUAUUAGAAGAUGUUAAACAUCGAAUGGGGUCAAAUUGACCCCAAAAGUAAUAGGAGGGUUAAACAUUGCUAGCUAGACAUCUCAAAAUAGCAGUCACUUAGUUCCUGUUUUAGGCUAACUAAAAGCAUACUAAAUGUGUACUUGCUUACUCCCGAAAUCAUCCUAACUUUGUGUUCAUUUUAAUAUUUCAGAAUGGCACUCAAACAACUGCUGUGGACAAAAGCGCCCAAUAGUUAUUACAGGCCACCACCAAUCCACUUGUGUGUGGUUUUAAAAAAAGAGCAGCCCAGGGUGGUGACCUGGGAGUUCCAUGCGAAUGGUGUGAGACCAGGACUGGUGAAAAAAAAUGUCCUGGUUGCUCUCACGGAUGGCCAGUCGGUGGCUAAAGUCACCAUUUAUGAGGAGUUUUCCUCAAAGUGCCAAGAGGGGGGGAGCUAUUUCAUGAGGGGGUACGGACUGAGGGGAGAGUUCGUGCCCUACUCAAUUAAUAUUUCAAGGGAAACCAUGUUCUUCCGGAGUGGCCCAAUUGAGGUUACGCCGGAGCUCAGGAGGCAGGCGGAGAGCCUCAUCUGCCCCCCAUCUCCUCUCACCCCCCUGAGCAGCUGCACGGACACCCAGGGGCUGUUCACUGUAGAGGGCGAAGUGGUCCAAGGGGAAACAGAGAUGGCUGUCAGCCUGUGGAGAGAAGCUGCAGCAUCUGAUGUGCUCCAGGUUGGAGCGACUGUCAGGGUGUCCCAUCUUAGGACUAACCAGGGACAGUUUGGGACACAACUGCACCAACUUCACUUCCGUUGAGGAGGUGAUCUCAGAGGAGGUGGUGGGUGCGUGUGGGGUGAUGGACCUCGAGGGCUCUCCUGGCAUCCUGAACCUCCUGCUGGAGGUCGACCGCAUGACUACUAUUAGCAGGGCUCUGUUGGCGCCCAUAGAGCCCCACAUCACCAACCCGCCCUUAAGGGUAAAGCUGCAGAAGCACGGCAAUCGGGUUGUCAAAAUUGAAAUAGUUAAAAGUUCAUUUGUUUUUUUAUGUUGUUUAUUUGUUCCUGAAUGUGUAGUUAUUUAUUCAGUUAGUGUUAAUUUUGUUACAUGUUCAUGUUAAUAAAUUUGAAAUAUUUAAAGAACAUUUCUGCUUUUUUAAUGGUGUCCUUUGUUUCAUAGAAUCUUCAUUAUUG
ensembl:lncRNA